rnacentral:rRNA from 1 species
GAUCAUGGCUCAGGAUGAACGCUGGCGGCAUGCCUAAUACAUGCAAGUCGAACGAGAGGAAGGAAAGCUUGCUUUUCUGAAUCUAGUGGCGGACGGGUGAGUAACGCGUGGGUAACCUGCCCUGUACAGGGGGAUAACAGCUGGAAACGGCUGCUAAUACCGCAUAAGCGCACGAAGAGACAUCUCCUAGUGUGAAAAACUCCGGUGGUACAGGAUGGGCCCGCGUCUGAUUAGCUGGG